AACAUCAUAGGUGGAGUAGUGCGAGCAACAACUACUGACAGAUAUCAGCUGUUCCAGUAAAUAAGGAACCGCAUUUAGGAAUGGAUGUUGUUGAAAAUAUUAUAGAAAAUGGAACAAAUAGCGUCGAAAGUCUCGACGAAGAAACAAAUACAGAUGAAGAUUCGACACAAAUAUCAGAGGGUGAUGAGAAUUGGUAUUAUAUGCCAGAUUCUAUACUUCUCAGUAUUUUUCAAUACCUAACACCAAGAGAACUAGUAACAGCAGGAGAAGUAUGUAGAUCAUGGAACAAAGUAUCGCAAGAUGAAUUUCUUUGGAGAGACUUAUUCUAUCAAACUUAUAAAAUAGAUUCAAAUAUUGGUAUUAUGCCAGGAAAAACUUCCUGGUUUGAAGAAUUUAAGCGUUUAGCAUAUCAUACUCCCUUAAUAGAAACUGAAGUUCUAAAUCAUCAUUCACAUCAAGUAUUGCAUGUUAGUUUUUCGCACAAUGGCAAAAUGUUUGCAACGUGUUCAAAAGAUGGAUACAUCCUUGUAUGGAAAAGUCAACAUCCAGUUAAUAUUAUAUAUCUUAAUGAUAUGAAAACAUUUAGCUGGAAAUAUACUCAGUUUUCACAGUUCAAUUCUACUGAUACUUUACUUCUUGUCUCUGGUGUACAUUUUGGUACACCACAUAGUACAUCAGGAGAAAUAGCUGUCUUCAGAGUAGCACCUGGCUUUCAACUUCAAUGUAGAGUAGCGAAUAAACCGUAUGAUAUAUUUGGUACUUGGUAUAGUGAACAUUACCUUUUAAGUGGAAAUUUAUAUUGGCUGGCACACUUGGUUAGUACUAGUGUACUCUGGCUAAAUAAGGCUAAUCAAGAAUCAGCAAGUGAGCAUGUGCCCAUCAUGACACAACUGUUUAGGUUUUAUAAUGGAAAUGCUUCUUCAAUAAGAGCAAUUAUGAUUGCAAAUUGCUUAGCUCCCGCAAUCGAUUCUGAAAGUUCACAAGAUCAACCUUCAUCGUCAAAUAACAAAGAAGAUAAUGCUCAAAAUCAUAUAGCAACAUCUUCAACUAAUAAUUCACCACAAGAAGAACCAGUUGUACUUCAUCAUGUCUCAUCUAGAUUACAGUACAGUACAAUAGAAGGACGUUUUAUGAAUUGGAUAAAACUUGGUGAUGGUUUUGAAUAUGCCAGUCCCAUACAAUAUAAUAAAGAAUAUAGACAAGUUGAAAAAGAAAAAACAGCACAUGAAGCUGAUAGUGAAAGUGAUAGUGAAAAUGAGAAUGAGAAUGAGAAUGAGAAUGAAAAUGAAAACGAAAAUGAAAAUCAACAGUGGAAUGAAGAGAACGAAUCUGCAGAAUCAUCAACAGCAGAAGAGUGUGAUUCUGAUGAAUUAUCUAAUAAUCCAGAAAAAUUCUUAAUUUUUACAACUGGAUCAAAAACAUAUACACCUCAUCAAGUUGGCUUUAAAAGGAUCAAAUUAGUUACCUUCCCAAGAAGAUUAGAUCCAGGACCAUCACUUCGUGAAAGAUUAGCGCAACGAGAAAGAGAACGAGAAAGACAAAACUCAGGAACUUUGUAUACUAAUUGGUUGGAUUAUGAAGCAGUUGCUGAUAGAUUUGAUAAAGUAGAUCACUUAAUUGAUUUACAUGGUCAUAUUAUAGGAAUGGGUCUUUCUCCAGAUCACAGAUAUUUAUAUGUCAAUACAAGGCCUUGGCCAAGAGGAUAUGUUAUUACUAAUCCAUUACAACCUCCACCUAUAGCUCAAGAAAUAGAUAUUCAUGUAAUUGAUUUAGUAACAUUGAAACAAGUUGGUACAAUGUUAAGAGCGCAUAAAGCAUAUACUCCAAAUAAUGAAUGUUUCUUUAUAUUUCUGGAUGUAUGCAACGAAUAUGUGGCAAGUGGUGCUGAAGAUAAACAUGGCUAUCUUUGGGAUAGACAUUAUGGAGUUUGUUUAACCAAAUUCCCUCAUUCUGAUGUUGUCAAUUCUGUAGCUUUCAAUCCUAAAGAUCCCGAGAUGUUAGUUACAACUAGCGAUGAUUAUACAGUCAAAAUAUGGCGCAGUCGAGCUAUGGUGAAAUCCUUAGGUUUAAACGAACAUUCUUUUAAUCGAGGAAUGGAAGUAAGAAAAAAGAGCAGUUAUCAUAAACCCGGUUGUAAUGUUGACUGACUAAAGACUAUUAAAUUUCCUAUUUAAAAGCUUAUGAUUAAAAAAUCAUCUCUCAGCCUUGUAUAUCUACUGGAUCAUAACAAUUAUACCUGCAACAUUCACCUUAACACAAACAUGAUUGAGCACAUUUAUGCAUAGUAUGAAUGCAGUUGUGAAAUUAUUAUAUAUACGUGUGUAUGAGUACGUGUAUGUGUGUGUGUAUAAUUUUGAGUGAUACAACUGUAUAGUUCUACAAAAUCAGCACUUUUACUAUAUGUUCAGUGUUCCUGUUAAUAACUUCCUUUAAAUUACUUUUUUAUGUUUCUACUGUCCAUUUAUUUGUUGUUAUGUAAUAACCAAACGAAACAACAUGAUUAGCUGUUAUUUUUUCUGCUCAAUUAGAAUAUAAAUAAACGUAUUGGCACAUUCGUGUCUUUGCAAAAUAUAUUCAAAUUUCUAUAUAGAGAAUGAUAUAAAUAACUAUUGUGAAAGUUUGUUAAAGUAUAACAUCAUGAAAUAUAUCAGUGAUAUUUACUUUUUCAUUAUCAGAUGAAACCUAACAGUGAUGUGGAAGACAGAUCAUGGACACCCUAGUCUCAAUGGGAAAUGGUUAUUAGGAGAAAAAUGAGAAUAUAUAUAUUUAUAUUAAUCUUGCUUCUAUUAAUUCUAAAACAAAUAGAAAAAUACGCUUAGUUGAAUAUUUGCUCACAUAAAACUAUUUAAUAAAGUAAUUUACCAUAGUGGAUUCAUUUUA